UACGAAGGGGGCUAGCGUUGCUCGGAAUGACUGGGCGUAAAGGGCGCGUAGGCGGCAAAUUAAGUCAGCUGUGAAAUCUCCGAGCUUAACUCGGAACUGUCAGCUGAUACUGAUCUGCUAGAGUGCGGAAGGGGCAAUCGGAAUUCUUGGUGUAGCGGUGAAAUGCGUAGAUAUCAAGAGGAACACCUGAGGUGAAGACGGGUUGCUGGGCCGACACUGACGCUGAGUGCGCGAAAGCCAGGGGAGCAAACGGG
rnacentral:rRNA from 1 species